UUUCGUCUGCUAUGGUUACUCUUGACAUUGUUGAAGAGGAUGUUACUUGUUCUCGUAGUACUGUUUAUUGUGACCAGUGCCGAGUUGUUGGUGAGUCGAACAGUCGAGUCAGAAUCCGAAUUCUACCAUGUUUCACAUUUACUUAAUUAUUAUUUUUUUAAUGUUUUAUAUUAUAGUAUUAGUCUACCCACUGGGCUCCACCGGAUAUAUGUUUUUUUCAGCUUUUAUUUAUAUAUAUAUUUUUUAUAUUAUCAAUAUUAUUAUUAAUAUUACAAAAUGGUAAAGAUAAAAAGCUGUACUGUUAUUAUUACACAAAAGCUAAAGAUAAGGUCCUUGACAGUAGAAAUAUUUUAUAAUUUUAAUAAACUUUAUUAUAUUAUUAUUGUAGAAAUAUUUUAUAAAUUUUAGUAAACUUUAUUAUAUUAUUAUUAUCAUCAUCAUGAUGUUGCUGUGGGAUCAUGUGAUGUGGUUGGUGGAUAUGGAAUUAGGGAUAAAGUUGAACUCUGAUACUUAUGAAUUUUUUUGUUGGCUAAAAACAAAGGAUGGAGUGGUCAUCCUGUAUGUCGAAAGCGAUUUCAUUUCAUAAUAAGGUCUGGUAGUGAUGCUGUUGAAGCAUACCAAAGACCUUGUUCAAAAUGUGGAGAUCUUCUCCAAUUAUCUGAAGCAAGGUAACAAUUGCAAGUUUUUUUGUCCUAAUCUUCACUCUUGAUUUGGAUUAAACCUAGAAGAAUUGAAACUGUAAUUUGACAUCUUUGCAGGUGUAAGACAUGUAAUCUUGACAUCUGUGUUGAUGAUUUGGAGGAUUGGUUGUAUCUUCAAAUUGAAGAUAACACACAUCUUCUGCAUGGAGUUGUGCAUUCUAAUGGUUAUGGUCACUUACUUACUCUUAAUGGAAGAGAAGGUGGCUCAAUGCAUCUCUCGGGUUCUGAUUUAAUAGGUUUCUGGGAUAGGCUCUGUGCUGCAAUUUCUGUUAGGUUUGAAAUUUGAGUCCUUCGACUUAUAUUUUGCUUUAUGUUUGAAUGUUGUUUUCCUUUGUUAUGAAUCAUGCUAAAUAAUUUUCUAGGAUCAACGGUUUGAAAUUUGAACUUAUAUUUUGCUUUAUGUUUGGUUGUUGUAAUAAUUUCUAGGAAGGUUACUGUGAUGGACUUGUCCAAGAAAUUUGGUCUGGAUUAUCGUUUGCUUCAUGCAAUCACCAAUGGGCAUUCAUGGUAUGGCAAUUGGGGUUAUGAAUUUGGAACUGGCUGCUAUGGUCUUACCAAAGAAGCAUACAAGAAGGCAGUUGAUACGCUGUCCAACCUGCCCUUGUCCUCAUUUUCAUUCCAAGGUCGAGGACCCCAAAACCGUGUGCAUACUGUUAUUUCUCUUUACCAGUCUUUGGCAGAAACUGAACUUCUAACGAUUAAAGAUCUCUUCUCCUUUUUGUUGAAAUUGGUUAAUAGAAAGCCUUCACAACAUGAAUUCACCAGUCCCAUUAAUAUACUAGUUUCAUGGACAAGAAAUGAGGUUGAAGAAGUGCAACAAGCUUUGAUCAAGGUAUUGCUUGCAUCAAGUGCAUGUAACAAGGCCAAAUGGGCUACAAGACGAACUCUUAAGGGGGCCGUAAGUAUGCGGGUUAGAUCCUCUGAGCUGGUAGACUAUAGUCUUAAGCACUUGCCAGGGAAAUUGGCUGCAAAUGGAAUGGUGGUUUGUUCGCGUUGCAAUCCCACAUCUAGUGCUGUUGAAUUCAGGUAAUAGUUAUGAUGUGCUUUUUUUUUUUUCAAAUGUUUCUACUUAUAAGCCAACUAAUAUUUGUUUCAACCUUGACAGGUUAGGACCUUUUACUAAUGGAUUUACCUCAAAUUCAAGCUAUCCUUCAAAAGAGCAAGUGAUAUCUGAUUUGACAUUCUUAUUUAAUACAAUUAUUCACCCUGAAAAAAAGUUCGGCUACAGACCAAAGAUUAUGAGGAAAACGAUUGCUGAUUCAGCCAGAACGCUUCUCGACUGUAAGCAGUUUAUGAAGAAUUAUGAAGCUGAUCAUGUGAUCACAGAAACGCCUACUGAUAUUAAGCUUUGGUGUCACGUGGAGCUUUCUGACCAUCCUAAAGAGGACCAACCAUCACCACCCCCAGAACUAAUUGUGUUGCCUAUAGAUGCUACUGUUGAUGACCUAAAAACUGAAGUCACUAGUGCUUUUCAAGAGGUAUAUGCAAUGUACAAGAGGUUUCAAGCCGAGGAACUUCUAGGAUAUGGUAAAAUCAGCAAUUUAUAUACCCUGAAAUUCCUUUUUGGAGCAAAUACAAGUGUUCGAAUUCUAGGAAAAUGUCCUACAAAACAUGGCCUAAGCCGAUUCCGAAAGGAACGAGGAACAGAAGAGUGGAAGGUUGAUUGCACUUGUGGUGCUAAGGAUGAUGAUGGAGAAAAAAUGUUAGCAUGUGAUACUUGUGGUGUCUGGCAGCAUACGAGAUGUGCGGGAAUUGGUAGUUCUGCGCCUUCCAAAUUUGAAUGUAGGAGAUGUGUAAGCUCUUACAUGAAAACCAAAAAAUACCCAAUAUCUUCUUCUAGUGAGACUUGUAAAUUGAAAACAUCUUGCAGAGAUGAAGCGACUGCUGUAGCUUGUAAUAUAAAUGUGAAUUUUGGUGUACGUUGAGCUAGGCUGUAUGUAAUUGUUGUAAAUUUUGGCUAUAGGGUUUCAUGUUAUGCCAACCGAGAGAAGUCCUCUGUUUGAACAUAAUAUUGUUUUUGCUAUGUUCAGAUUGAGCUUGUUUUAUCUGGGCAUGAUGAAAAACAAAUUUGUUUGUAUUCAAAUUUCUGAACUGUUGUAAUUGGUAUGAAUGUUUAUGAAAUUGACUAUCACAUUACUUGUGAAGUAUAGAAAUUUGAUCAUUGCCUUUCAAAUCAUUCCCAUUGAACCAGAAAUUGUAAAAUAAACAGAAAUACAUGCCAGCAGGAAACCGUGUAUGAAGAAGAGAGGAGGAUCUGAUUAAAAAAUGCAGAGUCGAAGCUGCUUUUGUAAGAGAGGGGGGUAUAAGAAAAAAUGGAAAUGGAUAGUCUCGUGCUAGCCCAAGGUGUAAGACCCGCCUUGAAGCUUUGUCUGAAAUAAUCACAUGAAUCCCAUCACAAAAAAGCUUGAAGAUAUCAUUGCGGGUGUUCGAAGAAGCAAAUAAAAAAGACAGCAACAGUAUUGGGAGAUUCUUAAGGAUCAAGGCAGCUAUUAAUAUAGGACAACCUUCGAAAAGAGUGACAAUGCUCGUGUAGCCAAGAAGUUGAUCAAGAUAGUUUUAAGCAUAUUGGGGGUAAAGGAGGACCCUUUUGGACUUUGACUACAUGCUUCGUUCACUGCUACCUAAGUUCUCAAGUGAGCCGGGAAAAAAGGUGGCAAAUCCAGCUCUUGUAGUAGGAGUCAAAUUGUUGGAACAAGACAGAAGAAACUGCUGGUGGGAAGGAAUGAAGUGGUCGUGCCAAAGCCCAAAGAGAAAGGCUACAAGCUAAGCCCUAUCCAUAUAAAGACAGGACUCUUUAAAUAAGAAAGGUUUGUUGACAUGCUCAUCUCUCAGGAACAUCUAGAAGAUAAAAGGGGGAUGGUCCAGAAAAAGAUGAACCAAAAUCUACUGCCAAAAACAAUGAAAACCAUCAGCUGGGAUAGUAGAGGUUUGACAGAACGCCAUUUGGAGAACAAAAAACCCUUUGUUUUUACUCAGGAAGACUAUACUUAAAAAGAUGAAAACUCCAUUCUAGAAAAGAACAAAAUUAGAUGUGGUUCCAAUUCAGGUUUGUUUGUGGGCUGCACUGGAAGUGGAAAAGAGCAUGCCAGAGUGUUUGGCUCUAUGUCGAUAGAGAACUUGAAUAUACCCAUCAUUUCCUUUCCUAUGAACCACAUAUCUAGUUCAUUUCAAGAUAAAAGAGAGUGGAUCCAAAUAGAAGGGAGACUUGGAACCUCAUAAAAGAAAAGAUUUCCCUCAGCUUAGGCAAUAGCUGGGUUCAUUUUGGAGAGUGACUCGUUAUCAAGUUCGAACAAAAAGGGACCCUCAAAUCUUGUUAAAUUGCUCCUAGGUGCCAAAAUAGCUUAGAAGGUCCCCAUGUAAUUGUAUACCCUACUGUAACCACUGUGCAGUAACUGCUCAGUAGAUUUUCCUAUCAUAACUAACUUCAACUGUUCCUAAGAAUCAAGGAAGUAGUCCCUAGAUUCUAGGAACUGCCUAACAAAACUAGUUAGCCCGUGAGCCUAUAAAUAGAACCCACACUCAUUGUACUAAAAACAUAAAUCAGAGUUAAGAUUUCUCUGCACAAAUUAAUGAAGAGUAAUUUUCGAACAUGGUAUAAGUAGACACACCCCAAGGUCCUGAGGCCUCAGGCACUCCAUCUCCUCUUCAGCGCAUAAACUCAUCUUCUACAAAACAGAAUUAUGCCUUUUCUGCAAUUUCUGAGAAACUUGAUUCAGAAAACUACCUGUUAUGGUGUUAAUAGGUGGAUCAUGUGAUCAAAGCUCACAAACUUCAUCAUUUUAUUCUAAAUCCUCACAUUCCAGUGAAAUUCAAACUGAAAAGUGAACAACGAUCACAUCUCAUCUGAAUCAACAAGAUCAGCUUCGACUUGCGUGGUUACAAUCCACCCUCAAGUCCUGCUCAAUUGCUCCUUGGCGCCGAACAGCACUUCAAAUAUCACUCUUCAGUUUGUAGUCGAGACUCUGUAGCUGUGCUGCAUUGAAUCCAUGCAAGCAGGUUCUAAAACAUGGGUGUGGAGAUUCCCACAUCAGAUUUAUCCUAUCGUUUGUAAUGAAUUGUUUCCUAUCUAAUGUUAGAGAUGUUAUAUGGUUAAGAAAAUGUAGAAAGAGAGCAUCUGAUAAGGAACAAAUUUGAUGUUUUUUAAGUUUGGGAACUAGAUAACAGACAUGUAGGAAGAGAGGGUCUGUCUUGAUUUCACGUAGGAGAGAGGGAUAAACAACAUUGCACUUAAAGGCUGUAACACAAAUCACACUGGUAGAGGGAUUAACGUGAUUUACUUGGGGAGAACAUCAUGGACUAUUUAAUACUUCAAGAACUAAAUUGGCAGUCAUUUCUUCUUCAAAAAUUUUCCAAGUCCCAUAUUUUCCACUCUUGGUAGUUUUUGCUCAAUUCUUCACACUUUGGCAUGACUUUUACUCAUUAUUUCAAUGCUUUCAUCUGAAUUUACUAAUAAAAAUCACGUAAUGACGACUGUCAUCUAAUAACUAGAAGAAAAAGCAAUACUUCUUAAACAUAGGUCAAACUAACCUUCAAUCUCAGCAAGUUUGUCAUUAAUGUGCUUUGAUGGAGUGCAUUCAGUCUCAUAUUGCCGGUUCAUUUGGGAUGAGGAUGAUUCCCUCUUUGGAGGAUACUCCUGAAAAAUGAAUUUAUCCAUGGAAAAGGAUGUAGCAUUUUAAUCAACUAUAAUUGCCAUUACCAAAAACAAAUGUGAAAUACAUAUCCACCCUUUGUGAUGACUUUUUCUAGCCACUGGUACAACUCCAUGAGAUUGUGGAAGACUGGCCAGAAAUAAACAGGCCAAAAGGCUUUCUCAAAAUAAUUAUCUUCCAACAUCCCAUAUUUUAGAGGGAAAAUAAACUAUAAGCCGUACAAUUUUGUUGGGAUUUAGGAAGGAAAGAGGGGGAAGGAUUAUGAGGUGAAAGGUAGGAGGAAAGGAGUAUCACUCCCUACCUUUUAUCAGUUAGUAUCCUUCAAAUCCACCAAUUUGGAGGAACUGAAAAGAUCAAUUGGGGGAGUAAUUUAGGUUUCAAAAACAUCUCUAAAUCCUUUCCCUACCGGUCUCUGUAUAAUACUCAUCAUAAUAAACACAAUAGUACUCAUAACCUUUCUCUUCCACUCUCCUCCAAAAUAACUUUCCCAAAUCAGGACGGCUUCACUCCAUUUUCGUCCCUCCUUCCCCCUCCAAAGCCCAUCCCUCCCGCCUUCCCUUCUAACUCAAACAAAGCCCAAGAGAAUGUCAGGUUUCUUUUCACAUAAACAAGGACAUUCAUGACAAUAAACACAUGCCGCAUUAGUAUAUAUCCAACAGUACAAGGGACAGUGUCAUGGACCUUAAUAGACUAAUGAUUUUAGGGAGAAUAACUUUGAAAAACAUGAAUUAUUUAACAAACUCAUGACUUUCAUCCUUUUGAGACAAUGACAAGACUAUUGCAGCAAGAAAUAGUGUAAUUAAAAGUAGUUUCAUACAUUGCAGAUAAUGAAAAUAUGUUUCUAUCAACAAUGUAUUCUCGGUAGAAAGGGAAGAUAUAUGCCAUCAAGAAAUUGACCGAGAAUGAAAUGCAUAUACACACCCUAGAUUCAUAAUAUACAAUGUCAACCAUGGAUCUUCAUUACAAAGAAAUGAUAACAUAUGGAACUGUUCAGGCAGAAGGAGUAUUUUGGGAGAUUCCAAAUCAAUCUCUGUAACCUCAGGGGAAGCAACAAAUAUCUCAGAACAAUUGAGUUAUUAUACACAUCUCUAAAUUUCCAGACAUAAAACAUAGGGGAGACAAAUAUAUUUCAACGAAAAAGGGACAUCGAAAACCACCCAUAUGAAAAAGGAGACAGUUAAUCAUAACACCCCCAACCAAAAACAGAAAAAAAAUCCCGGUUCAAAAUAGAAAUCCAAUAUCAAUUUAGACAGUAUUACCACAACAACUAACAGCUAUAUAAACUAUAAAAAACUUAAUCAUGUUUUACAGUAGUUGUACAAAAAAGCCAACAUCAAUAUUUUAACAUUCCGUAAAUCUAUGUAGAUGGGUGGAGAAGAAAAUCACCAAUAUUAAAAGGAGGCCGGUAAUCCCCCAACCAAAACAUAAAAAAGUCCCAGGUUCAAAAUAGAAAUCCUGUAUCAAUUUAGACAGUAUUACCUACCACAACAACUUCGAACAACUAUAUAAACUAUUAAAAAUUUAAUCAUGUUGAACAACACAACAAUCUCAACCAAAUCUUAUUCUACUAAAUGGGAUCGGCUACAUGAAUCGACUUCUGCCAUAAUAUUAUAUCUAAAACCAUGUUUCUAUCCAAAUCAUUGACCUCAAGAUCGUUCUUAAUAAAAGAUCGUUCUUAAUAACUUCUCUUAUAGUUUUUUUAGGUCUUUCUCUAACUCUAACUGUUUGACUCCUCUCCAUCUAAUAUACUUUUCUUACCAUAAAAUUUAUGGGUCUUCUUUCUAUAUGUCCAACCACCUCAGUCUGUUUUUCACUAUCCUUUCUAUUAUAGGUGUUACUCCAACACUCUUGAAUAUUUUCAUUUUUAAUCUUAUUAAGUCUAAUGUUAACACACAUCCAACGCAACAUCCUCAUCUCUGUACACUUUAUUCUCGUGUUAAUUCUUAACCGUCCAACAUUUUGUCCUGUACAAAAUCGAGAAUUUCACCGCAGUCCGAUAAAUUUUCCCUUCAGCUUAAGUGAUACCUUUGUGUCACAUAAAAUCCAUGAAACCCUCCUCUAUUUCAACCACCCCGCUUGAACUCGACCGAUAACAUCUCCUACUAUUUUUCCAUUGUUUUGUAUUACGGGCCCAAGAUAUUUAAACCGCGUGACUUGUGACAUGAUGUGGUUUCUAACUUUUACCUCUGGGUUAAAAACGCUUCUUCUUUUGGUGAACUUACGUUCCAUAUACUCUAUCUUACUUCUACUUAGGUGAAAGUCAUGCGUUUCUAAAAUUCGUCUCAAGUCUCCAACCUCUCCCUUAAAUCCUCCUUCGACUCUCCAAAUAGGACUAUAUCAUCUACAAAAAAACAUGCAUCUCAUCGCCAACUCUUGGACGUGUUCUAAGUACAUCCAAAAUUAAAGUAAAAAGGUAGGAGCAUAAGGUUGAACCUUGAUGCAAAUCUAUUGUAAUGGAAAAAUCGUUAGCACUACAAUCUUGGACGUGUUCGGAGUAUAUCUUGUCUCACCACGCCGUGUCCGCGCACUAGUCAAUACCCCUUCAUACAUAUUUUGAAUAGCUCGAAUAUAUGGAAUCCUAACCCCUUUCUUCUCUAGAGUUUUUCAAAAAAUCUCUAUAUAUACUCUAUCAUACAUCUUCUCUAAGUCAAUAAAAAUUAAGUGCAAGUCUUGUUGAUUAAACUGAUACUGCUCUAUCAUGUUGAGAAUGUAUCAAGUGUGAGUAGUGUGGAUAAAUAGUCCCACAUUGGUUGGUAAUGUGGAAACUUGAGCAUUUAUAAGUGAGAGAACCCACACACCUAUCACCUUAAGGUUUUGGGUGAAUAUGUGGUUUGUCUCUCACAAAGAUAUUGCUCUAGAAAAGAAGUCUCACAAUGUUCAAUGCUCCCUAGUGAAAAACUCCUCCAACAUAUACCUCAAAGAUUCUACAAUAAUACCAAAAAGCCAAACGGUGGAUGGGUGGAGAAGUGUUGAAUGAAAGAAGACAAACGACGCAUGUGGUUAGAAGUGUGUUUCAACUACGACAGUCAAAAUUUAACGUAUUCAUGCAUUCUUCACAUUUGUGGCCGUUGGAUUGAAUAUCUUGUAGUGUUGUUGGAAAACUAUGAUAUCGAAUUUUUAGAUGGAUUGGUUGGACCGGAAUUUUAGAUUGAUUGGUUGGACGUAUGUCUUACCUAAAGAUCUUAUAUCCCUUUUCAAAUGAUUACUUCGUUAGGGGGCGGGGUAGGACAAAGGUGGUCUUACUAUGAUUUACCAUUUUGUGGUGUGGUCAAUUUUCAAGGAUAUUAAGUUUUCUGCAACAAGUACAUAAUACCCUGAACCCUGAAGUGGAUCACCUAUCGAUUAAUGAGCCUAGCCAAUUGACAUCUAAAUAACCAACUGUCUGAAUAUGUCAUUUUUUGUCAUAAAUUAGACCUUUUCUUGGGACAUCUUUAAUGUAUUUCAGUAUCACAACAUCCAAGUGUUCUUGUAAAGAGAACUUAAGAAUUGACUUACUACUCUGACUACAAAUGAAAUGUUUAAGCAAGUUACUGGGAGGUAGUUUAAUUUGCCAACCAAUCUUCUUUAUCUCCUCGAAUAUGAUAAUGUCUCCCUCUUAUUAGGUAGAAAUAUGACAUUUGGAUACAUAAAAGUAUCAAUCAGUUUGACUUUCUAACAAAUUUGUCUCUUCAAGAAUAUCCAUAACAUAUUUCCUUGGUGAAAUUACAAACCAUCUUUGGAUUGAGCUACUGAAAUACCCAAGAAGUAAAGGAGCUUGCUAAAGUUUUUAGUGUGAAAGUGAUGGGACAAAUAUUGUUUCAAGUGGAGUAAGCUAUGUUGAUCACUACUAGUUAUGACAAUAUCAUCUACAUAAAAACAAGGUAAAGUGCAACCUUGAACUGAGUGGCGCUAAAACGCAGAAUGAACUGUUUUGCUUAAAAUCUAGCCAAAUUGUUGCACUACUGUGAUGAAUAUGUCAAACCAAGCUUAAUGAAGCUGUCUCAGAUGAUAUUAAGAUGUGUGAAGUCCAUAGACAAUGGUAUAACACUCCCGAAAAAACAAACCCCCGUGUUUUCUAAAUAUACACUUCCUCUUCAAGGUCACACCAUACAAGAACAACAUUUUUCAUGUCAAGUUGGUACAAAGGCCAGUGUCAGAUAGCUGCAAUUGAGAGUAAGAGUCUAACAGCUCAAAGAUCACUUCACUCCUUUGCUAAAGACACUUCACAAGUGAAAAAAUGUCACUUCAAUCAAGGCCAAAGAUUUAACUAUACUUCUUUGCCAAUAAAUGAGUUUUAAAACGAUCAAUCUUACCUCAAGAACCAACCUUCAUCUCAUAAAGCUAACGACAUCCCACUAAAGACUUUCCAGGGGCAGAAGAACCAGUUACUAAAUACCAUAAUUGAGCACACAUCUUGCCAAUCAUUACUUGUCUCCACUCUAGAUGGGAAAAAGCUUCAACUAAAGAUUUAGAAAUAGAAACAAAAGACAAAAAAAAAAAAUACACAAGCAUAAUACAAAGGAGAGACGUGGUGAUAACUCAACAAUAUAAUGCCGGGAUGUAAUGGGAGUAAGACAUAUAUACCUUUUGAAAUAGCAAUAAGUAGAUUCAGGGUCAGAUCCUUUAAAAAGGCGAAUGAGAGUCUGAAAUGGCAUCAGUUUCAGGAACAUAUGUAGGAACAUCCACAGCAUGCGGUUGACGACAACAUUGUACAUGCAGAGGUUAUGUCGCAUAAGGGUCCACGUGAGGAGGAUUAGAUGGGAUAGACGUAAGAGGUUCAAGUGGUACAAUAGGGGAUGAAACAUGCUGUUAUGGAUCCAUGCUGUUAUGGAUCCAUAUGAGUGAUUGCAAACAGAAGGUCGAGAGGCAUCUCAAAGUAUGGAACAAACUCUGGUGGGUCCGCAAGAAUGAGAGAAAGGGUCAUGAGGCGACUCAAAGUAUGGAACAAAACGACAUCAAAAUGUUUUGUUGAGGUGUAUGGACACAAGACAUUUGGUGAAGAAUGUCAUUAGACACCAUAAAAUAUUGAAAUUAAUAGGACAAAUAUUGACUGACAUUACUAGUGCGUAAAGUGAGAAAGAACAUUUUAAUUUCUUUAUAAAAUUUCUCAAAAAUAGAGAAUACUCAGAAUUAUUUUUCAUAUAUACAAUUUGAGAGAUCAUCAAUGGAAGUAAGAAGAUGGACCCUAAACAGCGGAGAGAACUAAAACAAAAGGGGACAAAGCAUGUUCAUUCACUAGGCUGGGAAGCUAAGCUAACUACGCGUGUGUUACCCUAAUUGUCGUGACCCACAUAUAAAUUUAAAAGAACAGACAACAGCUUUUGAUGUUUGAGGCGACCCAAUGACCUAAUUGACCAUGUACAGUAAAAGGAGAAUUUGUGGUAGAGCAUUACGUUGAUUUGUCAAAGUGAUAAUUCAGAUCCUUUGGCUCGCAUUUGACGCCAACCAUCUGUCCUGAAGCUCGAUCUAGCAAAGUAACAUUGCUAUUAGUUUAAGUAACAACACAAUCAUAAGAUUAAAUUAUCUUCUUUAAAUUUAUAUGUGGGUCACGACAAUUAGGGUAACAUAAAAAGAUUAAAUUAAACAGGUACAUAAAGGACAUACGAAACAAACAAGUGAGGAUUUGGACAGUGUCAAUUCCUUGGGAUUUUGUUUCAAAACCAUUUGUUAAGACUACCAAGUAACCAGAUGUAGCAAAAAAGGAGAAAAAAGCGUUAAUAAUACUAGUAAUGUGGUCAGACGAGUUUGAAUCCACUAGAGAAAAUGUUCAUAGUAAGUUGGGAGGCAUGAGGAAGAGGUAUUGUCAGAUGAGUUCAGAUGGAUCAACCCAAGCCGCAUUUAUAAAACAUUGGGGACGACCCAAGACAUCUAGGAUGGUAGCAAACCCCAAAAUGUGAACACAAGUGUCAUAGUUCUCACGAGGCAAUCCAUAAAAGGAACACAACAUGAAGAAAGUGAUGAAAGGCAAUCCAUAAGAAGAAAGGAGCAUGAAGAACGUGAUGUGUUGCCCAAGUGUCUUUUCUUUUCAGCUACAAAAUUGUGGCAAGAGGGGAGGAGAUCAUUGAAAUCAUGAAGUACAAAUAUGAUCAUCUAUCUUCUUUAAAGCAAUGAUGUUCAUUAGACUGUGACAAACUUCAUUGAGACAUUGAAUAUCGACAUUGUAAAGUACCUUCACCUGAUUCUAAAUUAAUUUGCAUGUAAGAUGAGGAUAGAAGAUUAGUUUUGAUGUUAGGAUGAAGUGUUGACUCAAUGACCCUGCACAAUUGAGCAUCAAUCUUCCUCCACUUUGGUCAUUCAACCUUCAAUUCAACCUUUCUAGUGAGAUGAUCCUGAUGCCCUUGACCAAUAACUCAUAAUUGAAUGUCAGAAACCAACAUUCAUAAUCGAAACCAUCCAAUUUUUUGGUAGAGGGUAAAUAGUCCGUGCUGCGCUGAACAGUAACGUGAAUAUUACUCUCUAAAAAAGGGAAUACAUUAGUAGAGAAGGGGCAAACUAGAAGGUCAACCAAGCAAGCACGGUUUAAAGCUUCCUUUUAAUAAACUUCUGAUACAAUGGUGAAUGAGAGAAAACGAGAAUCAUAUGAUGAAAAAUGUGUUUCAACUACACAAUAGGGUUUUUAACUACACAAUAGGGUUUUUAAUGAAGUGCAAAUAAUGACAUGAAUAAUUACAAUAUAUUAUACUCCUAAUUAAAUGAUAGCAAACCUUUAUUUACUCGAUUCUAUUUUAUUUUUAACAUGAAGCAAAUCUCAUGUUGAAGUUUUCCGACCAUGUAAAAAACAAAAAAUAAGUGUGCCAUGAAUGAAAAGGAUUGAAAAGGCCUUACUGUGCCAACUACCCCCUGAACCACUUAACAAGACAACUCCAAUCAAAACAUAUAGAAAAUAACACAAAAUUAUGUAAUAUGAAGUGCACGCACCUCCAUUGAUCUCUUCAUCAGUGGCUCCCACCCACUAUAUACAUGGACUUGGAUUUCUUGAAGUCAAGAGUUCACUCAUUCACUGCAUCAGUCAAGGUUAUCAAUAUCAAGAUCCUACCAAGAAUAGAGAGAUUGUGUCAGAAAUCCCAUUAUAGCUGAGUGAACUCUGCUAAGUAUUUUAAUAUCAUUGAGCAAAACAUUACUCAGAACUUAUACACCCUUCUUAUGUCAAUUAUUUUUAUAUUUUUCACCAAAUUUAAUUCUUAUUGCACAAGGAACAGAUCAGGAACCAUUCCAGUCUGACUGCGUCAUAGACGGCGAUUCGAGGAGUAAGAAGUCUGGCAACGUGACAACAGUGGAACCACAGUGGUCAGACUACAUUAGGGGAAUUUGGUUGUGCGAACCCGACCCUGAAAAUGCCAUUUUUGGAAUCACCUGAAAUAGACCUUAAUCACAAUCUCAAGGGAUAACCAUCUAUCAUGUAACCCCACCAAGUUCGUCUCAAAAGACGAUUUUAUGUGUGAUAUGACUCACUUAGUAUGAGCAAGAACGUUAGAUCGUCCAAUCUUACUAUUUAAUUCACCAUCUUAACAAUAGUGACUAAUAAAUUGGAACCGUUUGAUGUUGAUCGAAUGACUUGCAUUCCACCUUCAGGUAAUCAAAUUUUUAGGCAAUUCAGAAUAUAAAUCAUUCAAUUUUUCUUAAAUGGUUCCAAUUUAUUCACUGCAAUAAAUUCAUAAUAUUGACUAUAGGGCAUCUGUAGUAAUUAUCAAUACUUGCAUUCUUUUCCACUUACCUUUUCAGGUUUCCGCGUGUGCAAUAAAAAACAAUGCAAUGAAGUUGAAAAAAUAAUUUGCAUUAAAAGCAACAAGACAUGUUCGAGAAAAAGCAAUUAGUGUUCAACAAAAUCAUAUAUAUGAGAAAUAUGAAAUGAAAAAACAAGCAUCAAAAAUAGAUUUAUAAAACCGUUAUCAAAAUAUUACAAUUUCUUUUUAUAUUUGUUUUUUCUAAAUUGAAAGAUUAAUUUUGACAUCCUAUAAUAUAAACAUAUAUUAUUGAAUAUCAAAACAUAGUCGAAAUCACAAUUUUUUCAAAAAGUUGUAUUUCAAAAAUGAUUUUUGUGAAAAACUAUUUGAAAUAGCUUUAAAAUUAAGUGAUUUUUUGAAAUUUUGAUAUCCAAAAAAAGUUUCAAAUUUCAAUAAAAUGAUCAAAUAUCUAAAAUAAUAUUUUAAGAAUAACUAUUCAAACUAAAUUUUCAUUUGAAACUUGUAUAAAAAAUUUCUUUGUAAAUUUUUUUUACACAAAAUUAUAUAACAGUAUAAAAAUAAAAAGCCAAAACAAAUAGGCCCUAAAACGGUUUAGUUUCGUGCCAGAUUGUGCAGAUUACUUGCCAUACUCUAAGAGUGACAAAGUGUGAAAAGGCAACAAAUAGAGUAUAACAUUAAUUGAUAUCUAUUUAAAAGCCUAAUAUCAAACUUUGUUGGCAAAUAUUAUUAGGUUUUUGUACCAAAUUCAACAUCAUAAAAUCAGCUUUAUGGCAUUUAAUUAGACCCAAAAUCUAAUAUCAAAGCUUCUGAAAUUGGCUUCUAUAGUCAACUAACUGCCCUGCUUUUAAUAUGCGAACAUAAUUGAUUUGGCUUCUUAAAGUGAUAAUCUUAGUUUAUUAAAAGCCAAACUGCUAACCAUAGAUCACAAUUGCAAUAAUCAACUUUGAUAUCGUGUUAGGUUUUAGGACUAAUUAAAUCCCAAUAAAUUAGGUCAAAAACUUAAUAGAGAUUGCCAACUUAAACUACAUCAUAUAUGUAACAACAAUACCAAUAAAUAUAUGUGAUGGAUUCUCCUUUAAAAAACAAAGGGAUUAUUAAAAGCAUUGCCGUGGUUAAAUUACUCAAGAAUCGUCAUCUCUAUAUGGAUGAAAAUUGAACUGGUAAAGCGGUAAUUAAACAAAAUUCAGAUCUGCAAUUAAACUUAACAGAUAAAAGCAAUUGAAGAUUGAUGUGAAACAGAUAAAAGCAAUCGAAGAUUGAUGUGAAUCAGAUAAAUAGAAGUGAAGAUUGAUGUGUAAUAUGAUAAACCCUAGAUCUGUUAAACCUAUCAAAAAUUCUAAAUUCAAAUUCUAAGAAUAAGAAAUUGAUAGAGACGAAAGAAGUAAAACGGAUUGAACAUACAGAGAAGAGAAGAAUGUUUAGCUUGAUGGAUUGAAGGAAAUUCAGGGAAGCGUGCGAUCGGAGAAGGUGAUUUGGGAUGAAAAAACGUUGAUGUUGAUUGCUCCGGUGAAAGUCUUGUUUAUUGUUGACGUAGAAUCCCCAAUCGUUGUUCAGUGGCUGCAAGCUGCGCAUAAUGAAUUUUGUUGUGCUAAGUUACACUAACCCCUAUAUGUUACACAUUUCUCUCUCCUUUUAUUUUAAAACUCAACUCUCCUAAACCUUGUAAAAGUCAAUAUUUACAUCUUUAAAAAUCAUCUUUAAUAUUUGAAUCAUAUCAAUCAAACAAACUAGCAUCAGAUUAAAUCGACG
rnacentral:lncRNA from 1 species